UGCAAGUCGAACGGUAACAGACCUAUGUGAUCCCUUCGGGGUGAACUUGGUGCUGACGAGUGGCGGACGGGUGAGUAAUGCAUAGGAAUCUGCCCUUUAGCGGGGGAUAACUCGGGGAAACUCGGGCUAAUACCGCAUACGCCCUACGGGGGAAAGCGGGGGCCUUCGGGCCUCGCACUAUUGGAUGAGCCUAUGUCUGAUUAGUUUGUUGGUGGGGUAAUGGCCUACCAAGGCGACGAUCAGUAGCUGGUCUGAGAGGACGAUCAGCCACACUGGGAUUGAGAUACGGCCCAGACUCCUACGGGAGGCAGCAGUGGGGAAUAUUGGACAAUGGGCGAAAGCCUGAUCCAGCAAUGCCGCGUGUGUGAAGAAGGCCCGAGGGUUGUAAAGCACUUUCAACAGUAAAGAAAAGUUCGGUGCUAAUACCACCGAACCCUGACGUUAGCUGUAGAAGAAGCACUGGCUAACUCCGUGCCAGCAGCCGCGGUAAUACGGAGGGUGCGAGCGUUAAUCGGAAUUACUGGGCGUAAAGCGUGCGUAGGUGGCUUGGUAAGUCGGAUGUGAAAGCCCCGAGCUCAACUUGGGAAUUGCAUUCGAUACUGCUAGGCUAGAGUAUGGUAGAGGGAAGUGGAAUUUCCGGUGUAGCGGUGAAAUGCGUAGAGAUCGGAAGGAACACUAGUGGCGAAGGCGGCUUCCUGGACCAAUACUGACACUGAGGUACGAAAGCGUGGGGAGCAAACAGGAUUAGAUACCCU
rnacentral:rRNA from 1 species